rnacentral:lncRNA from 1 species
GGGACCGGAGGCAAGACAUCUUGCUGCAUCAUUGAUCUAUAAAAUUUAUAACCUAGCAACACCAACCAAGAUUUUUAAUCCAAGUGGAAAAAGCAAACUCGUUCACACAAUUUGUCAAACAGUUGGUGGACCACGAAAAGGCUCACGAUGUGAGAUCAAGUAAAGCCAAGCCAAGCCUCGGCCUGGCCAUUUAGCAGAGGAAUGGUUAUCACAAAAAGAGUUCGGAGAACGAGACAAAAAGAAAAAAAGGCAUACCUUGCGAGUGGAAAUCAGGUCCAGGGACGAGUGGCCUCAACUUCGAUGCAUUCGUUUUGAUCUCAGGCCUAACUAGAAAUGACCGCGGAUCAGCGGAUGGGAUUGGGAGCGGCUGAGAACUUGGGUAAGAGAUGAGAGAUGUGAUUUUGGCGGAAGGUUUCUGGCUCCUGCGACCCAGUACUGGCCACCCGGGACUCGGGGAGGUGGAGGAGAUGAGGUCGCUGGCAGGCGGUCGGUGAAGCAGAGCUGCAGAAAGAGCCGAAGAGGAGCUGAGCAGGACCGAGGACAAUGAGGAUUGAGGAGGAGUGGAGCCGUGGAGGACGAUGGGGAUUUUAAAGAAAGGGACGAUGGGUGAUGGGAUUGGGAUGCCCGACGGCGACUUACCCUCACUCCCUCAGUCAUCUUGUCGAGCAGUCGAGGUAGCCGUUGGCUCUGCCUCUGGCCCUCUACGCUCUACCUCCAUGGAGUACGGACUACUAUAGCCAGUCUGUCGGGCGGGGCCUUUUUUCGGGCCGGGGCCUUAGGCGGCCGCCUAUCUCGCCUAACGGUCGGGCCGGCAC